UACGUAGGGUGCGAGCGUUAAUCGGAAUUACUGGGCGUAAAGUGUGCGCAGGCGGCCGCGCAAGUCGAGUGUGAAAUCCCCGAGCUUAACUUGGGAAUUGCGCUCGAAACUACGUGGCUGGAGUGUGGCAGAGGAAGGUGGAAUUCCACGUGUAGCGGUGAAAUGCGUAGAGAUGUGGAGGAACACCGAUGGCGAAGGCAGCCUUCUGGGCCAACACUGACGCUCAUGCACGAAAGCGCGGGGAGCAAACAGG
rnacentral:rRNA from 1 species